GUCCUCAUGGCCCUUAUGGGUUGGGCUACACACGUGCUACAAUGGCGGUGACAGUGGGAUGCGAAGUCGCAAGAUGGAGCCAAUCCCCAAAAGCCGUCUCAGUUCGGAUUGCACUCUGCAACUCGGGUGCAUGAAGUUGGAAUCGCUAGUAAUCGCGGAUCAGCACGCCGCGGUGAAUACGUUCCCGGGCCUUGUACACACCGCCCGUCACACCAUGGGAGUUGGCUUUACCCGAAGGUGGUGCGCUAACCGGCAACGGAGGCAGCCAACCACGGUCAGGUCAGCGACUGGGGUGAAGUCGUAACAAGGUAGCCGUAGGGGAACCUGCGGCUGGAUCACCUCCUUUCUAAGG
rnacentral:rRNA from 1 species